GACGAACGCUGGCGGCGUGCUUAACACAUGCAAGUCGAACGGAAAGGCCCUGCUUUUGUGGUGUGCUCGAGUGGCGAACGGGUGAGUAACACGUGAGUAACCUGCCCUUGACUUUGGGAUAACUUCAGGAAACUGGGUCUAAUACCGGAUAGGAGCUCCUGCUGCAUGGUGGGGGUUGGAAAGUUUCGGCGGUUGGGGAUGGACUCGCGGCUUAUCAGCUUGUUGGUGGGGUAGUGGCUUACCAAGGCUUUGACGGGUAGCCGGCCUGAGAGGGUGACCGGCCACAUUGGGACUGAGAUACGGCCCAGACUCCUACGGGAGGCAGCAGUGGGGAAUAUUGCACAAUGGGCGGAAGCAUGAUGCAGCAACGCCGCGUGCGGGAUGACGGCCUUCGGGUUGUAAACCGCUUUCGACUGUGACGAAGCGUGAGUGACGGUAAUGGGUAAAGAAGCACCGGCUAACUACGUG
rnacentral:rRNA from 1 species